rnacentral:piRNA from 1 species
UGGAAUGCCACCUUAUUGUGGAAUGGUC